rnacentral:miRNA from 1 species
UAAUAGUGAUCCAACCUCGCAAGCCAGGCUCUCUAUUUCCGCUUCCCUCCCUAACACGCUGGAGCGUGUUUACGCUGGAACGUGUUUACGCUGGAACGUGUUUACGCUGGAACGUAUUUACGCUGCAGCGUGUUUGGGAGGGAACCGGAAAGCCUGGCUUGCGAGGUUGAAUAGUGAU